GACAGAGGGUGCAAACGUUGCUCGGAAUUACUGGGCGUAAAGCGCGUGUAGGCGGACCGGGAAGUCAGGUGUGAAAUCCCUAGGCUCAACCUAGGAACUGCAUUUGAAACUUCCGGUCUGGAGGAAUGGAGAGGGAAGCGGAAUUCCUGGUGUAGAGGUGAAAUUCGUAGAUAUCAGGAGGAACACCGGUGGCGAAGGCGGCUUCCUGGACAUUUUCUGACGCUGAGACGCGAAAGCGUGGGGAGCAAACAGG
rnacentral:rRNA from 1 species